ACAAACUUGGUCAUUUAGAGGAAGUAAAAGUCGUAACAAGGUUUCCGUAGGUGAACCUGCGGAAGGAUCAUUAACGUAUCUCAGACGGUUGACCGGUGUGCCCUGCUCCGGCCUGCAAAGGCCGUGCAGCGGGUCCGUCGGCGCCGUCCAACCUUUGCAAACCCACGUGCACGUUUGCUGGCGGAUGGGGGGGAGACCUCCUGGAAGCCGCUUCACAAACCCUGAAAACCCAGAAUGAACGGUGACCUAUGUGUUGCCCGAACUUGAAACAACUUUCAACAACGGAUCUCUUGGCUCUCGCAUCGAUGAAGAACGCAGC
rnacentral:misc_RNA from 1 species